AAAUAUCCCGACACAAAAAACUUAGCAUGACAGAGGAUUAACACUAGAGGAGUGUUUGAGGCGAAGGCCAUGGAAGAGUUCUUUAACCCAUCAGGGACUUCUCUUUUGGUACCAUCAGUUCAAGAAUUGGUUAAAGAGAGGAUAUCUGAGGUUCCACAAAGAUACGUUCAGCCUCAACAUGAAGACAUGGUGGUCAUAUCUAAAGAAGUUAAUAGUGGCCUUCAGAUUCCAGUUAUUGACAUGCAAAACUUGCUUUCUUUAGAAUCUGGAAGUUCAGAAUUGGAUAAGCUUCACUUCGCUUGCAAAGAAUGGGGAUUCUUCCAGCUAAUAAACCAUGGACUAAGCUUCUCCUUGCUGGAGAAAGUAAAGUUAGAGAUGCAGGAUUUCUUCAACCUUCCAAUGUCAGAGAAGAGAAAGUUAUGGCAAUCUCCACAGCAUAUGGAGGGGUUUGGACAAGCAUUUGUUAUCAGUGCAGACCAAAAGCUUGAUUGGGGUGACCUGUUCUACAUGACAACCCUUCCAACACACUCAAGAAUGCCCCACUUAUUUCCACAGCUCCCUCUUCCUUUCAGAGACACACUAGAGAUUUACUUAUGGAACAUGAAAAAUAUAGCUAUGGUUAUUAUUGCCCAUAUAAGAAAAGCAUUGAGAAUUGAAGAAAUGGAAAUAAUGGAGUUGUUUGAAGAUGGGUUACAGAUGAUGAGGAUGAACUAUUACCCUCCAUGUCCACAACCCGACAAAGUUAUUGGCCUCACAAAUCAUUCAGAUCCGGUUGGACUCACUAUUCUCUUACAAGUCAAUGAUGUAGAAGGGUUACAGAUAAGGAAAGAUGAGGCAUGGGUUCCAAUUAUGCCCAUGCCUAAUGCCUUUGUUGUUAACGUUGGGGACAUCUUGGAGGGGCUUACUCAGUUUACACCAUGGAUGAUCAUCGGAUAGCUCCCGCUUCACGGAUACAACGUAUGCGGUAUUGAGCCCUCAGGCAAAGGUGUUAGUCAGAGGCCGAGUCAGGAGGAGAGUGUGUGACUUAUGGUGUACCCACACUCACUGUUGGUGUCAUCACCACCCUCUCUUCCCCAAGAUUAUGACUAACGGGAUAUAUCGGAGUAUUGAACACCGAGCAACAGUGAACUCUGAAAUGGAAAGACUUUCAAUUGCAACAUUUUACAGCCCAAGACAAGAUGUUUUGAUAGGUCCUUUGCCAAGCUUGAUCACUAAACAAACACCAGCACAAUUCAAAAGCAUAGGAACAAAACAGUACUUUAAGGACUUCUUUGCUCGUAAACUUGAAGGGAAGUCUCACAGAGAUGUCAUGAGAAUAAAGCAUCAAAACUGAAGUAAUUAGAAUUAAGAAAAUUAAAGAUAUUUGCACUAAUUAUAAGUGGUAUAUGUGCACAAUAAAAAAGUUAUGAUAGCAUCAUAAUGUCAUCUAAUGACCUAAAUAAGUUCUUGUGGAAGUGUGCAGCACACGAUUACUCUAAAAUUACUUUAAGAUUGUAGACUAUACAUGCGUUGUUAUUUAGAACAUGUUAAAAACUUGUUGUAUUCCGUAAUGAAAAUUAAUAAAAUUAAGAGCCAACUAGCCUGUUCACAUU